rnacentral:rRNA from 1 species
UAUGCCGGUAGCAGCCAGAGAUGGUUGUGCCUUUUGGGCCGGUUUACAGGUGGUGCAUGGCUGUCGUCAGCUCGUGUCGUGAGAUGUUGGGUUAAGUCCCGCAACGAGCGCAACCCUUGUCCUAUGUUGCCAGCGGUUCGGCCGGGAACUCAUAGGAGACUGCCGGGGUCAACUCGGAGGAAGGUGGGGAUGACGUCAAGUCAUCAUGCCCCUUAUGUCCAGGGCUUCACGCAUGCUACAAUGGCUGGUACAGAGGGUUGCGAUGCCGUGAGGUGGAGCGAAUCCCUUAAAGCCAGUCUCAGUUCGGAUUGGGGUCUGCAACUCGACCCCAUGAAGUCGGAGUCGCUAGUAAUCGCAGAUCAGCAUUGCUGCGGUGAAUACGUUCCCGGGCCUUGUACACACCGCCCGUCAAGUCAUGAAAGUCGGUAACACCNGAAGCNNGNGGCCUAACCUUNUUGGGGGGAGCUGUCUAAGGUGGGAUCGGUGAUUAGGACUAAGUC